rnacentral:rRNA from 1 species
GACGAACGCUGGCGGCGUGCUUAACACAUGCAAGUCGAACGGAAAGGCCCCCAUCUUGGUGGGGGUGCGCGAGGGGCGAACGGGUGAGUAACACGUGGAUGAUCUGCCCUGUUCUUCGGGAUCAGCUUGGGAAACUGGGUAUAAUCCCGGAUAGGAUCAUGGUUCAGUGUCUCAUGGUGGAAAGUUUAUUGUUUUGGUGUAGGAUGAGCUCGUGGCAUUUGAGUUGGUUGGUGGGGGAUUGCCCUAGCAAGGCGGGGUAGGGUAGCCGGCCUGGGAGGGGGGACGGGGACAGUGGGACGGAGAUACGGCCCAGACUCCAACGGCAGGCAGCAGAGGGGAGGAUGGCAGAGUGAGCGUAAGCCUGAGGCAGCGACGCCGCGUGGGGGAUGACGGCCUUCGGAUGGUGAACUCCUGUCGGUAGGGACGAUGCCACGCUUAUUGGGUGUGGGUGCGGGUACUUGGUUAAGAAGCACCGGCUAACUACGUG